rnacentral:lncRNA from 1 species
GGGCUGGGCGCGCUCGGCGGUGGAUUGGCGCUGCCUGCCCGGCGGCCCGGAAGGCGCUGGGCUCGAACCGGGGCCGCGGCGGCUCCGCGGAGUUGAAGAUGGGCCGCCGCUCCUCGGACACGGAGGAGGAGAGCAGGAGCAGGAGGAAGAAGAAGCACCGCAGACGUUCCUCCUCCAGCAGCUCCUCGGACAGCAGGACCUACAGCCGGAAGAAAUCGGGAAGGAAAUCCAGGUCCAGGUCGCGCUCCCGGGAUCUCCAGUCCUGGUCCCACUACGAGAAAAGGCGCAGGCACAGAUCCAGCAGCAGCUCUUCCUACGGCUCCAGGAGGAAGCGCAGCCGGAGCCGAUCCAGGGGCAGAGGCAAAUCCUACAGGUCCCAAAGGUCCAGGUCAAAAAGUAGAACCAGAAGGUCCAGGUCCCGAGGCCGGCAGCGUUCCUACAGCCGGAGCAGCGAGAGGUCCGGCCACAGGAGGACCCACAGCGGCUCCCGGGAGAGGGAGCGGCGCAAGGGCAGGGACAAGGACAAGGACAAAGCCAAGGACAAGGGCAAAGGGAAAGACAAGGAGAUCCACGGCACCAAGGCCGGGUAAGUGAAGUGACAAGUGGUUGAAUGGUAACGAGAACCAGGCGACGGGUUGGUGUCGUUUUACCCCGGAAUGAUUUUCC